GGGGCUGACCGGUUUUGACAGCAAGGAUAAUGGAUUUGUAAGCAUGCAGGCUCACACAUCAGAAGCCUUCAAAAACGGAUGUAAAACAAUAAUUGGCGAAAAUAACUACGCUCUUGCUGCUUAAGCUGAAGUACAGUAGGCUUGCAUUAUUUCGGCACAAGGUGCUGAAACAAGACAUUUCCCGAGAACCUCGCCCAUCGGUUGUCGAACAGGAAGUGCUCGUGAGAAUGGGAUAGUUGCAAUAGAGCUUUGAUGUUGCAAUGAAAGUUUAGAAGCUAAGGUUUGCUUUGGGUGUCUUUGUCCGUGGCAAACUCGAAAAUCAACCAAAGAAUAAGCAUGUAGAAAGCAUUUUUGUUACUUGUUUGGACGGCGGUUCGACUCCGCCCAGCUCCACUU
rnacentral:tmRNA from 1 species